rnacentral:misc_RNA from 1 species
AAGUCGUAACAAGGUUUCCGUAGGUGAACCUGCGGAAGGAUCAUUAACACGUUAUCCAUACGUUAAACCAAUUGAGAAUCGUUUUCACCCUCCCUUCACGGAGAAUGAGCGGGGUUUGUAGAGGUAUUAAAAGGGAUUGCUUCGGCCGUCUGCCUCUGCUUACUAUUAUAUCAAGACAGAAAUGUUUUGUAUGACGCUGUAUCUUUUUGUGGAGAUUAAUCUCGCUAGCGCUUUCCUUUUAUGAGAGUUAGUUCGGGAACUAUAUUAACUUAUUUCACCUUUUUGCUAGUUGACUUUUAUAUGUUGGAUAUUGUGCCAUGCAUGCUAUUCCACACGUUUAUUAUUUGAACGUUAAAAUUACAACUCUUAGCAAUGGAUAUCUUGGUUCUC